rnacentral:rRNA from 1 species
AGUAACAACCAUUUGAGUCUGGGAUUUCUGAAUGGGGAAACCCACUUACAUAAGUAAGUAUCAUUAACUGAAUACAUAGGUUAAUGAGGCGAACCGGGGGAACUGAAACAUCUAAGUACCCCGAGGAAAAGAAAUCAACCGAGAUUCCGAAAGUAGCGGCGAGCGAAAUUGGACUAGCCCUUAAGCUUUACACGCGUUAGACGAACGGUCUGGAAAGUCCGACGAUACAGGGUGAUAGUCCCGUAGUUGACGACGUGUGUUCAGUGAAAUCGAGUAGGGCGGGACACGUGAUAUCCUGUCUGAAUAUGGGGGGACCAUCCUCCAAGGCUAAAUACUACUGACUGACCGAUAGUGAACCAGUACCGUGAGGGAAAGGCGAAAAGAACCCCUGUGAGGGGAGUGAAAUAGAACCUGAAACCGUGUACGUACAAGCAGUAGGAGCAGGCUUGUCCUGUGACUGCGUACCUUUUGUAUAAUGGGUCAGCGACUUAUAUUCAGUGGCAAGGUUAACCAUCUAGGGGAGCCGUAGGGAAACCGAGUCUUAACUGGGCGUUCAGUCUCUGGAUAUAGACCCGAAACCAGGUGAUCUAGCCAUGGGCAGGUUGAAGGUUGAGUAACAUCAACUGGAGGACCGAACCGACUAAUGUUGAAAAAUUAGCGGAUGACUUGUGGCUAGGGGUGAAAGGCCAAUCAAACCUGGAGAUAGCUGGUUCUCCCCGAAAGCUAUUUAGGUAGCGCCUCGGACGAAUACUACUGGGGGUAGAGCACUGUUAAGGCUAGGGGGUCAUCCCGACUUACCAACCCUUUGCAAACUCCGAAUACCAG